rnacentral:rRNA from 1 species
CUCGUGAGAGCUUCUGGAGGUAUGGGAAGUGCGAAUGCUGACAUGAGUAACGACAAAGAGUGUGAAAGACACUCUCGCCGAAAGUCCAAGGGUUCCUGCGUAAAGUUAAUCUUCGCAGGGUUAGCCGGCCCCUAAGGCGAGGCCGAAAGGCGUAGUCGAUGGGAACGGGGCAAAUAUUCCCCGGCCAGUGG